CAGUGACUCCAGCUCUUCAUACAGAGCAAAGCCAUCCUCAGCACAUCCCUUUAUAUCUUUUUGGGAUGGAGAGCAGACAUUUUAAGCACAGCACUCCAGACACAGUUAUACCGUGGAUUUACCAUGGACCUGGAAAUCCAGGAUCUCCUCGUGGACCUACAGAGAAUUACAGAAACAUGGUAUGACCACAUAAUUAAAAUCUGGGCUGAAGAAGCUGGUCUAGCAUUCUCCUAACUUUGGAAUUCUAAUCCAUUAUGUCAACAGAACAACUGGCAACAACACAGAUUUUUUGCUACCAGGCAACACUCAAUAGCUGAGCUCCAGGAGGUCCAACUAACAGUGGUGACCCAGCUGGCCCAGGCAGUCCAAUGUCGCCCUGUGGAAGCCAAAGCAACAGCAGAGAUGUUCCAUGCAGCAUUUCAGUGACACUGAGCUUGUUUUCCUGUUGUACCAUAGCACUAUAUAUUUCUGUACUCACUGAAAAUGUAUUAAUUACCUGCAGAUAAAGGUGGUCUUGGGAAAAGGGGUUAAGGAGAGAGCACUAGGAGCAUUUCUCCAUGACCACAGACUGCCAGGAUGAAAUAUGUUCACACAGACAUGGGAAGGAACAGCAUAUUCCUCAACUUCCAAACU